rnacentral:rRNA from 1 species
UCCUACGGGGGGCAGCAGUAGGGAAUUUUCGUCAAUGGGCGCAAGCCUGAACGAGCAAUGCCGCGUGAACGAGGAAGGUCUUCGGAUCGUAAAGUUCUGUUGAAGGGGAAAAAGAGCGGAGAGAGGAAAUGGUCUCCGAUUGAUAUUACCCUUCGAGGAAGUCACGGCUAACUACGUGCCAGCAGCCGCGGUAAUACGUAGGUGGCGAGCGUUAUCCGGAAUGAUUGGGCGUAAAGGGUGCGUAGGCGGCCUGCUAAGUCUGGAGUGAAAGGUACCGGCUCAACCGGUACAGGCUCUGGACACUG